AGGAACAGUCCUUUUCGACUCGUUACUCAGUAACUAUAAAGAAAGUUUAGUCUUGGGCUGACUGGAAGGGGAGUUUGGUUUUUCUUGACAAGUAAGUCUAACUUGGAACGUAAGAGAGGUGGAAACACAGUGGAUUAAGUGUGUUAAUACAGAAAUCUGCAUAUAGAAUAUUAUUAAUCUCGCUCCAAUAGUCUGUGAUAUCGUCAAGAUUUAGAGAACACGUAAACGGUCUUGGCUAUUGAUGCUGUUCAACAAUAUAUAUGUUUAUCUGUAAUAUAAAUUCACAUCAAUUUAAUAUACCCCUGGCUGUACUCUAUGAGUACCACUUAGAAUUACAACUAAGUACAAUAAACCCUAUCUACUUGAUGACGACCGAGUGGAGUUCGAUUGCCUAUGCUUGUAAUUUAAUAUAAGUUACUUACGUUGGCCGGCUGUUAGUUGCAGACGGUCAUCGCUUGGCAGAGGCAACAGUGUUGGGCUGGUUCCAUUUGCAAUUGUAGAGUUUCCCAUUGUUGAGUUACCGGCUGUUGUAUUAGUUGGAGGGUGUACACUGAUCUGAUCUAGAACUGGACUGGUCCACGCCAAAGCUGUGCCCGCGGCAACGGCUCCCAAACACACUGGCAGCUAGGUAUUGACGGGUCUUUGAAGUCUUAACCACACCAUCCUGCAGUGGGUCAUAUAGCAUUGGGUUGCGAGCUGAGGGAUCACCAUCCUCUUGGCUGACAGUCUGUAACAGGGAAUUAUUUUAUUAUAUUUAUUAAUUAUCACCUGGAAAAUCCGACAUGAUUUUAAGCACAUCAAUCAUUUUAAUUGGUUUUAAAAUGCUAUUUUCUUUUCUGUUAACCCUAUGUCUGUUUAUGUAUAAAUUCGCAAUCUUAAUUUGGACUGGGCUUAAUUCAUUAUACGCAAGUUAUAAAAUGUGGAAAACAUUAAAAAGGUAUCAAUCGACUAAUUUAAGUGAUCUGAAAACUAAAAUAAAAGGGGUCACUUUAAGAAACACCAAAUAAUUCUGUACAACUUAUUGCUUGUUCACUAAACAAAUAACAGAAAAAUUAUGAUGAUUACAUGAUAAAAGUGCCACUUGUUUCAAUUAAAUCCUAUCUGCUGUUUAGCUAGAGUUAAUCGUUAGCCAGAUGAAACUCUUUACUGUUGGUAUUUCUGAGAAUACAAGUUGUUGCCUUUACCUGCCACCAGCGCGCCAUGGCACGAACUACUUUAUCCGAAUCCAUUUAAAACUGGCCCGAUUUCCGGGUUGUUAUUUCCCAACGUCUUAUGUAAGUCAACACACACACACACAAAACGCACUUCUGUCCAAUUUAGUGACACUUUUUUCUGUCUAAAAAAACACUAAUUUAUGGUUUGUAUAUUUCGGUUUAUAUUGUGCUUAUUUUUAUCUGUUCAUAUUAAUUAUCUAUAGUAAGAAAGAUGUGCAUAUACAUAUGUAUGUAUAUAUUUAUAUUUGAAUA